ACGCUUCUCAGGAAGAAGUUGAAAUGUUUCAUUGCUUACUUCUCAAAACAUCACUAUAGAUGUAAAUGCUACUGGGUGAUAGUCAUUGAGGGUGAAGAUCCCCAUCUGGAUUCAAAAUCAUUUCAUUUGGAGAACUGGACUGAGAUCUCUGGGUCACUAUGGGCUAAUCUACAGUGGUGUGGAAAUAAUGAACAGCGAAGGGGGCCCUGACGCAGACUUUAGUGUUCACUUAGUACUGCUCUCCAGUGUUCGCUCAGUGCUGCCCUCCGGUGAUCACUCUUUAGAAGAACAAGAUGGACCAAGACAACUGACCAUUAAUCUACAGGCCAUGCCAUUCAGGAAAGGAAGAUGGGGUGAUGUCACAUGACAUGUGUCAGAACGUGAUUGGACAGAGUUCGGAGCAUGCACAAAAAUGACAAAGUGAUCGAGA